rnacentral:rRNA from 1 species
CAGCAGCCGCGGUAAUACCGGCGGCCCGAGUGGCGGUCACUAUUAUUGGGCUUAAAGCGUCCGUAGCCGGGUUGGGAAGUCCUCCGGGAAAUCUGGCCGCUUAACGGUCAGAAUGCCGGAGGAUACUCCCAGCCUAGGGAGCGGGAGAGGCCGAGGGGAUUCCCGGAGUAGGGGUGAAAUCCUAUAAUCCCGGGAGGACCAACUGUGGCGAAGGCGCUCGGCGGGAACGCGUCCGACGGUGAGGGACGAAGGCCAGGGGAGCAAACCGGAUUAGAUACCCGGGUAGUCCUGGCUGUAAACGAUGCGGACUUUGUGUCGGACAAGCUAUGAGCUUGUCCGGUGCCGGAGGGAAACCGUUAAGUCCGCCGCCUGGGGAGUACGGCCGCAAGGCUGAAACUUAAAGGAAUUGGCGGG